rnacentral:rRNA from 1 species
UAACGAAUCUUCCGCAAUGCGCGAAAGCGUGACGGGGUAAUGCCGCGUGCAGGAUGAAGCCCUUCGGGGUGUAAACUGCUGUCAGGGGCUAGGAAUUUCAUGACCAGCCCCAAAGGAAGAGCCGGCUAACUCUGUGCCAGCAGCCGCGGUAAUACAGAGGGCUCGAGCGUUAAUCGGAAUCACUGGGCUUAAAGCGUGCGUAGGCGGAUCUUCAGGCUUGUUGUGAAAUCCCACGGCUCAACCGUGGAAUUGCGAUGAGAACCGGAGAUCUUGAGUCAGGUAGAGGCGGGUGGAACGAUAGGUGGAGCGGUGAAAUGCGUAGAUAUCUAUCGGAACGCCAAAGGAGAAGUCAGCCCGCUGGGCCUGUUCUGACGCUGAGGCACGAAAGCGUGGGUAGCAAACGGGAUUAGAUACCCCGGUAGUCCACGCCGUAAACGAUGCGCACUAGACUGAGGGAGCUUGACGCUUUCUCAGUCGUAGCAAAAGUGCUAAGUGCGCCGCCUGGGGAGUACGGUCGCAAGAUUA